rnacentral:rRNA from 1 species
GACGAACGCUUGCGGCGUGCUUAACACAUGCAAGUCGAACGGAAAGGCCCUGCUUUUGUGGGGUGCUCGAGUGGCGAACGGGUGAGUAACACGUGAGUAACCUGCCCUUGACUUUGGGAUAACUUCAGGAAACUGGGGCUAAUACCGGAUAGGAGCUCCUGCUGCAUGGUGGGGGUUGGAAAGUUUCGGCGGUUGGGGAUGGACCCGCGGCUUAUCAGCUUGUUGGUGGGGUAGUGGCUUACCAAGGCUUUGACGGGUAGCCGGCCUGAGAGGGUGACCGGCCACAUUGGGACUGAGAUACGGCCCAGACUCCUACGGGAGGCAGCAGUGGGGAAUAUUGCACAAUGGGCGGAAGCCUGAUGCAGCAACGCCGCGUGCGGGAUGACGGCCUUCGGGUUGUAAACCGCUUUCGCCUGUGACGAAGCGUGAGUGACGGUAAUGGGUAAAGAAGCACCGGCUAACUACGUGCCAGCAGCCGCGGUGAUACGUAGGGUGCGAGCGUUGUCCGGAUUUAUUGGGCGUAAAGGGCUCGUAGGUGGUUGAUCGCGUCGGAAGUGUAAUCUUGGGGCUUAACCCUGAGCGUGCUUUCGAUACGGGUUGACUUGAGGAAGGUAGGGGAGAAUGGAAUUCCUGGUGGAGCGGUGGAAUGCGCAGAUAUCAGGAGGAACACCAGUGGCGAAGGCGGUUCUCUGGGCCUUUCCUGACGCUGAGGAGCGAAAGCGUGGGGAGCGAACAGGCUUAGAUACCCUGGUAGUCCACGCUGUAAACGGCGGGUACUAGGUGUGGGGUCCAUUCCACGGGUUCCGUGCCGUAGCUAACGCUUUAAGUACCCCGCCUGGGGAGUACGGCCGCAAGGCUAAAACUCAAAGGAAUUGACGGGGCCCCGCACAAGCGGCGGAGCAUGCGGAUUAAUUCGAUGCAACGCGUAGAACCUUACCUGGGUUUGACAUGGAUCGGGAGCGCUCAGAGAUGGGUGUGCCUCUUUUGGGGUCGGUUCACAGGUGGUGCAUGGCUGUCGUCAGCUCGUGUCGUGAGAUGUUGGGUUAAGUCCCGCAACGAGCGCAACCCUUGUUCACUGUUGCCAGCACGUUAUGGUGGGGACUCAGUGGAGACCGCCGGGGUCAACUCGGAGGAAGGUGGGGAUGACGUCAAGUCACCAUGCCCCUUAUGUCCAGGGCUUCACGCAUGCUACAAUGGCUGGUACAGAGAGUGGCGAGCCUGUGAGGGUGAGCGAAUCUCGGAAAGCCGGUCUCAGUUCGGAUUGGGGUCUGCAACUCGACCUCAUGAAGUCGGAGUCGCUAGUAAUCGCAGAUCAGCAACGCUGCGGUGAAUACGUUCCCGGG